rnacentral:rRNA from 1 species
GGACGAACGCGGGCGGCGUGCUUAACACACGCAAAGUCGAACGAAAAUACCAAGCAUGCUUGAUUGAUUACAGGCGCACGGGUGAGUAACACGUGAGUAACCUGCACCUUUACUCUCCUGGAUAACUGCUCGAAAGGGUAGCUAAUACGGGAUAUUCUGACCCGCCUGCACGGGUUGGUUUGGAAAGGUUAUUUUUUUCUGGUAAGGGAUGGGCUCGCGGCCUAUCAGCUUGUUGGUGGGGUGAUGGCCUACCAAGGCUUUGACGGGUAGCCGGCAUGAGAGGGUGGACGGUCACACUGGGACUGAGAUACGGCCCAGACUCCUACGGGAGGCAGCAGUGGGGAAUAUUGCACAAUGGGCGCAAGCCUGAUGCAGCGACGCCGCGUGAGGGAUGAAGGCCUUCGGGUUGUAAACCUCUUUCGUCAGGGAACAAGGCACUGUCUUUUUGGUGGUGUUGAGGGUACCUGGAUAAGAAGCGCCGGCUAACUACGUGCCAGCAGCCGCGGUAAUACGUAGGGCGCAAGCGUUGUCCGGAAUUAUUGGGCGUAAAGAGCUCGUAGGCGGCUGGUCGCGUCUGUCGUGAAAACUUCCGGCUCAACCGGGGGCUUGCGGUGGGUACGGGCCGGCUAGAGUGCGGUAGGGGUAACUGGAACUCCUGGUGUAGCGGUGGAAUGCGCAGAUAUCAGGAAGAACACCGAUGGCGAAGGCAGGUUACUGGGCCGUUACUGACGCUGAGGAGCGAAAGCGUGGGGAGCGAACAGG